rnacentral:rRNA from 1 species
UACGUAGGGUGCAAGCGUUGUCCGGAAUUAUUGGGCGUAAAGAGCUCGUAGGCGGUUUGUCGCGUCUGCUGUGAAAACUCAGGGCUUAACCCUGAGCCUGCAGUGGGUACGGGCAGACUAGAGUGUGGUAGGGGAGAUCGGAAUUCCUGGUGUAGCGGUGGAAUGCGCAGAUAUCAGGAGGAACACCGGUGGCGAAGGCGGAUCUCUGGGCCAUAACUGACGCUGAGAUACGAAAGCGUGGGGAGCAAACAGG